rnacentral:ncRNA from 1 species
UCGCACAUCUGGUGUGAGACUUAUGCGGACAACAACCGCGUAUCCAGGAGAACUGGAAUUGGACUCCUAUUAGAGGAGAAACAAAAUG